rnacentral:rRNA from 1 species
GACGAACGCUGGCGGCGUGCUUAACACAUGCAAGUCGAACGAUGAAGCCCAGCUUGCUGGGUGGAAGAGUGGCGAACGGGUGAGUAACACGUGAGUAACCUGCCUAUCACUCUGGGAUAAGCGCUGGAAACGGCGUCUAAUACUGGAUACGACCUAUCACCGCAUGGUGUGUGGGUGGAAAGAUUUAUCGGUGGUAGAUGGACUCGCGGCCUAUCAGCUUGUUGGUGAGGUAAUGGCUCACCAAGGCGACGACGGGUAGCCGGCCUGAGAGGGUGACCGGCCACACUGGGACUGAGACACGGCCCAGACUCCUACGUGAGGCAGCAGUGGGGAAUAGUGCACAAGGGGCGCAAGCCUGAUGCAGCAACGCCGCGGGCGGGACGACGGCCUUCGGGUUGUAAACCUCUUUUAGUAGGGAAGAAGCGUAAGUGACGGUACCUGCAGAAAAAGCACCGGCUAACUACGUGCCAGCCGCCGCGGUAA